AAUGUAUUUGAUUGUCCUCGACGUAUAGGAAAAAGAGGAAAAGUGUCAACAAAACCAUUACAAGUAACCUUUUUAUAAAUCGAUUGGGAAUUCUCCUCUUCCCAACAGGAAAAUUCCAUUUUGCAAACACAAAACUGUGAACAGACGACACAGACCUAAAUACCUUUAUACUGUCAGUGAACAGUGAACGUGAAAUAUUUAACUGAGGGGGCCUAUAAAGAAAUGGCGCCACCUCACUGUCUUCCAUGUGGACCAAACUGCAGGAACGGAUUCUGUGCCCCAUACUGCUAUUAUAGCAGUCUAGCUCCACUGCCCCCACAUCUGCAGACGUACCAGCCACCACCGUACUCACAACCACCAGGACCACCGCAGUAUAAUCCGCAAUAUCCCCCGCAAUACCCAACCUAUCCGCCGACUGAUCUACCAAGCUAUCCACCCACCAAUCCUCCGUACAAUCCACCAUACAUUCCUCCGGCAUACCCGUCACCAUACCCCUCUCACCCUCCGCAUUUACCUGAUGAUUUCAGGAGGUAAAUUAACAUCACCACUUAAUUGGUUGGUAACUUCGUAUUAUUUCUAUCUGGAGUCAACGAAAAUAUAAUUUUGAAUAAAGUAACUGUUUUUAAAUAUCAUCAGUUCAUACAAUUGUCAUAGUCUAUAUAGUUUACAAGAAAACUCAUUGAAUAAAGACGCUUGCAUACUA